UGCUUUUUAAACAAGGCAUUAUUUCGUAUGUGGUUGAAACUCUCUGGGAGCUGACAAAGGAAAUAAAGACCUGCCACUGUCACCAUCUAACCUGUGCCUUGUCGUCAGACCUGAGAUGGAGGCCAAAGCAGAGACCCCCUGUGAAAUUAGCUGGCUCUGAGGAAAUUUCUACCUGCAUAGGCACAUGGUACCUGUCUUCCUCCCAGGUUCCUCACACCACUCCUCCGAACUCACCAUUCACUAAGGAACUUCCAGCUCCAGGAUAACCUCAGGUUCCAUGUCUGCCAUUCCCUUCCACCCAGGCAAAAUUCAGAUCUUUUCAGAUGCAGGAAUGAAUCCAAAGUCUUUGCAUAUCUUGCUCAGCUUUUUCAUCUAUUCUCUGAAUGUACUGCCAAGGACAUCUGCUUCUGCCCUGCCAUCUAUUUGCCCACAGCCUUAUAAAGAGCUUUCUAGAUACUAUUAUAUUCAGAGAUUUCACUCCUUAAACCAUAUUAAAACACACCUACAUCCUACAGUAAAUAUAGUUUUGGUGUAAAAUAAUUUAUAGAGGAUUUGCCUUACACAAUUCACUUAGUACAGGAAUGAUUCUUGCAUGAUUUCUUAAUAAACAUGGGCUUUUAGGCA
rnacentral:lncRNA from 1 species